UUUUUUCCUGUGUUUAGUGUUAUCGCUGUAGUCUGCUUGACGGAAACGGGGCCUGUGGAAAAACCGAUUCCUGUUACUUCUGUUUUAAAAUCCGGUAAGGUGUUGGGUCUCUUCGGAAUCGAUAGACGAAUUGGACGAGUCAAGCGGCAGGAUUGAUCUUCCUACGGCAAGUGGCUGGGUAGUAGGCACAUUCAUGGAAGACUCAAAAUUGUUGGGUAAUCAAUUCAUCGUGUUUGAAACAGCUGCCCUCGUUUGGAUCUGUAGUUGAUGACUUAGUGGGCAGGAUCGAUCUUCCAACCGCUUUUAUCAUUUUUUUAUGGCUUAGUUUUAUAAGGGGGGUCGAUUUUUAAUAAAUUCUAAUCGAUAUCUUAUUUUAUUGCUAAUUAGACGAUUAAAGUAGUCUGCUAUGCUUUUGUUUUCGCACAUGUUGCAAGCCCGAUACAGAAGCAUGAUACAAGUACAGAUAAAGAGUGGUCUUUUGAAAAGGAGACUAACAUUUCAAAGAAAAACGGAACGAUAACUUUUUUGGACGUGUUCGAUAAUGGUCCUCUUUGACUUACUUCGUACUUUGCGCAGUGAAACGCCCAUUUGAUUUUUGGGUUGCCUGACCCCAUUUCCUUCCUGUCAGUGCUGCCCCUAACGGUCAUGCUUGAUUCCCCUCACUUAACAGAACGGACGACGAAAGGACAAAAAAUUUCAAAAUCACCCUACCUCGUGUAUCAUUCUUGUUCUUCUCCCAUCCACGUCAGGACUUGGAUCGCUUUUCCAUAAUUUUUUUAACGUUUGACUUCACUCUUGAUUUUACUAGUGAAAAUUUACAAAUUUUCACUAGACAUACUGGACUUCUCGGGUUUUGCACUCUUUACAGCUUUAGCACGGAGAUCCUUAAUAUCUAUUUCCUCUUCCUCAUCUUCGUCUUCCUCCUCCAUCAUGUCACCCAAAGUCAUUUAUCAUCACCCAGCAGAUACCUAAAUAUAUACAAUGUCUUCAUCUAAAGCGCAACACUUGUUAGACAGGAGCAAAAUCCACAGCUUAAAAGAAUAAAAAUAAUAGAUACGAUAAUGUUAGUGGCCAUUUCAAAGAAAAACAUCAGGAAGAGGCAAGACCCAAGAAGAAAAUGAGCCCGCCUCUGGCCGACGUGCCUCGACAAAGGGCGGCAGGAAAUAUGCGUUGUAACAUUAAGAAUUUGGAGGGAGAAAAAUGUGACGCGACAUUUCCGAAAGGUCAAACGAGACUGAGCCUUAGACAAAGGGGAGGAAUGCACUUGGCGAUGUGGCCCUUAGUUCUUACACUGUUAAAGUGUCGAAAAAAGCAAUUUCAACAAGUUGGUAACACGUGGUCUUCUUAACACGAGUCUACUAUACAUUUCCAGAUCAAGUGUAAAUAUUACUCAGCAGCAGAAUGUAAAAAACGACAUGUUCCACAUGUUCAGAAUCAUUUGCGACAUUAUCAGAACCUUGGUACAACUUUAACAAAUGCGAAAAAAAAGCUGUUCCUGAAAAACCACCGAAGAAUGGAU